rnacentral:rRNA from 1 species
AUUGAACGCUGGCGGAAUGCUUUACACAUGCAAGUCGAACGGCAGCACGGGGGCAACCCUGGUGGCGAGUGGCGAACGGGUGAGUAAUACAUCGGAACGUGCCCAGUCGUGGGGGAUAACGUAGCGAAAGUUACGCUAAUACCGCAUACGAUCUACGGAUGAAAGCGGGGGACCGUAAGGCCUCGCGCGAUUGGAGCGGCCGAUGUCAGAUUAGGUAGUUGGUGGGGUAAAGGCUCACCAAGCCGACGAUCUGUAGCUGGUCUGAGAGGACGACCAGCCACACUGGGACUGAGACACGGCCCAGACUACUACGGGAGGCAGCAGUGGGGAGUUUUGGACAAUGGGCGCAAGCCUGAUCCAGCCAUUCCGCGUGCAGGACGAAGGCCUUCGGGUUGUAAACUGCUUUUGUACGGAACGAAAAGGCUCUGGUUAAUACCUGGGGCUCAUGACGGUACCGUAAGAAUAAGCACCGGCUAACUACGUGCCAGCCGCCGCGGUAA